CGACAACAGGGAAACUCUGUCUCAGAAAAAAAAAAAAAAAAAAAGAAAAAGAAAAAAGAAAGAAAGCAGAAGUAAUAAAGAUUAGACUGGAAAUAAGUGAAAUAGAAAACAGAGAGGGUGAGAGAGUGUGCGUGGCGGCGUGUCUGCCAGCCAGAAGAGCAGAUCUGAUUUGAGGGCAGCUGGGAAGCCGUCCAAUCUGGAGAGCCUCUACAAUUAGCAAAACAAGGUCUGGAAUUCCUGGACUUCACUCCUUGUUAGCGAGAAAGCGAAACACGUGAUGUUCUGCUUUGCUCUCAGUGUCAAAACCUUGUGCUCAUGGGCCCUGGCGGCUACACAGAAAGCCCUGAGGACUGAAACCCUGCAUGGGUACAUUUUGAUGGGGCAGGAAGAAAAGUUCUGGAGUGUGGAGAGCAGAGGUCCAGAGCAUUCACUGAUUUAGCCACAGAAGAAACAGAUGCGGAAACCGGGGCACAGCAGGCGAAGUGAAACUUCCCAUGUUCCAGCAAAGCCCAGUCCAUAACGUGAGGCUUUGUGAGGUUUGUGUGUGCGACCUUCACCCCUUCACCUGGACCCUCUCUUUGUCCUCCUUUCGCACCCAGUGAUGUGUGGCCUGGAUCACUUCCCUGCCCUCAAGUCUUGCCCUGGCCUGACGUUCAGCGGACCCUCCGUGCAUUAAGGAUGGAGGAUGGUUCCUUGUGCUUCCUCUACCAGGUGCACUUGUAUCUGCUCGGAAUUCUGGAAGAGCAAAGACCCACUGGCCCCACUAAUCCAUCUAUUGAUCCUGCCCCGGUCAGCAGGCUGGGUCUAGCCUCCACACUGCCGCUGCUCAGGGUCUGUGGAGGAAGUCGCUGCAGCCAUUCAGCCAGAUGAAUCGCAAUUAAUAAAUGUGGAACGAAUGAGAGACGAAGACGAUGAGCACCAGAGGACUGCAGGGAGCACGGCUGAGGCAACAUCACCAGAGGAUAGUAAAAUUAGCAGACAGAGAUCUAAGCACAAACAGUGUCUCUGUGUAGCCUUAAAGCAUCUCUUUGAAUAUUUAAUGGUUACAAAGGAAAAACAGUGAGUUGAUGGGGGAGAACCCUGGCAGGCACCACCCUAACCAAGAGAUCAAAGUUGGCAUGACCAGGCACAAGGCACACUAACAGCCCACACCCACUGAUCUGGCCCACCGAAAAUGCACAUCACUUCUGUGGCAUUGCCACGGAAUUUCCAAAAAGGCAUUACCUCAGUCCAAUGCAGAGAAGGCGUCAGGCAGACCUAGGCGGAGAGACUGUCCAAGAGCGACAGACCCAUCCUCUUAAAAAGCCGGCCCUGACACAGAAAGGAGACAGAGAAAGGUGACAGCCAAAUGCACGUGGGAGCUGGGAACAGAGGAGGGCACUGGGAGGGGCCUGCCUGCCGUCCAGCUCUCGAGACCACGGCGAGAUUCAGAAGGGAAUUGGGCCAUUCCUUCUCCAAAGCAGAACGUACUGCAGCUGUGAGAGUUCUAGGAGAAAAUUCAGGUGGAUGCUUCUGUAAUCUUGGAAUGGAGGCUAAGCCUGGCAACAAUGCUAGAAAACAGUGCUGAAGUUUGACAGAUUUAGCCACAUACAAUGGCAAAUGACAAACUGUAAAAGGAAUUCUUGUGAGACAGAGGAAGGAAGGAAGGAAGGAAGGAAGGAAGGAAGGAAGGAAGGUAGGAAGGAAGAAAGGAAGGAAGGAAGGGGCACCCUAAUAGGGCAAACAGUAGUAUAGGUCAGAAAUAACUUUGAAAGAACCACAGGGUGCUGGUGGGCCAAUCAGGGACAGACAGACCCCCUCUUCCAGGGGCUGGGCUGGGCUGGGGUGGGGUCCACAGGUGCAGCCCUGGAGCUGGGCUUGCCUGUCUGCAUCCAAGCAUCCCUGUGCUUUCCCUGUGAGCUGGCAGUCCCCACUAUGAGAUUCUAGCCUGGGAAUGUGCUAUAGGGAAGCUUACAGCAGCAGAUCAUAGAAAAGCAAAAUAGAAAUGUGAAAGGAAAAUAAAAACUUGGGACCCCUACUCCCUCCGCCAAAAGAAAAAAAAAAUGCUGAAAGUGGAGUCAUGCAAGAAGCUGCCUUUCCCUUUGUUCCUAAGCAGAUAGAGACAGAUAAAAGGUUAAAGAUCUCCACUCUGCAUUCACCUUAUCUUGUGUGAAGAGUCGAGUUACUGAGCAUGGGACGAACACAUAACUGACCAUUCCCCUACAUGCUCCUUUUCUUUUGCAACAUUUGGAUUCAGUAAUGUGACCAUACCCUCCCUCUGUCCCCUCCAGCUGGCUUUUUCCUUUAAAUACUGAAGCCCUCGAAAUCAUCUUUGGAGAAAGGCACAGACCUGUCUCCCAAGACGUGUCCUUAAUCUUGGCAAAGUAAACUUCUAAGUUGAUCGAGGCUUGUCUCAGAUAUUUUCAGGUUUACAGAAAGAAAUUCAAUUUCAGUCACAAACGGAAUGAUAAAAUAAGUUGUUACGCAUCCAUAGAAAGAAGAUAUUAACAUGGUAAGCCCUGUAUUUAUUAACCUAUGCUUACGAUAAAUAAAAACAGGCUGUAUGGUCAAAGGUGGAAUACAGCUAUAAGGAGAGAAGAAGUGAGAAAUGUAUCGUCUUUUAAAUUCGUUUCCUUUAUUACUAGUGAAGUUGAGGAUAUGCUCCCAUUUAGGGGCCGGUUACUUUGUCUUCUGUGAAUUGCCUGUUAAAUCCUUACCCAUUUCCUACUCUUUUCUUAUUGAUUGGAAAGACAUGUUUAUGCAACACAGAUAUUAACCAUUGGCACAUUACUUCUAUUGUAAACUAUUUUCUCCCUGCCUGGAAUUUGUCCUUUAAUUUGUUUAAGGAGGCAUUCAUUUAGUUCUUGCAAUAUUCAAAUCUGUCAGUCAUUUCCUUUACGGUUUCCAGGUUUUGUUUGCUGCUUAGUAAAAGCCUUCUUCACCAUAGGAUUUUAAAAAUAUUCUUCCAUAUUUGGCUUUAAAACUUUUAUAGAUUUUUUAAAUGUUUAGCUCUUUAAUACACCUGGAGUUUAUUCUUGCAAAUGGUAAGAAGAUUCUAACAUUGGUUUCAAAAUGGAUAGUGAGUUUUCCCCAAAGCCUCUGUUGACCUUCCAUCUUUCCAGCUUGGCUUUGAAAGGUCUCCUGUAUCAAAUACUAAAUUUCCCCAUAAACAUGAAUCUGUUUCUGGAUUUUCUGUGUGAAUUACUGAAGUCUUUUUGGAGGUUUUCGAAAUCAUCUUCAGGAUUCCUAUAUAUUUUCUCUUUCAGAUGAACUUUCAAAUCAGCUUCUCAAGUGUCAACAUCCUGUUGCGAUUUUCAUUGAUAUUGAACUGAAUUUAUAGAUUUUGUAAGCAGAAAAAAAUUAUUUUAAUUUUUUGAGAAAAAAAGUUUUAAAUGGUUUGUUUUCAGACUGUGUCAAGAUAUCCCUACCUCCGAAGUUGUCAGGUUUGCGGACCUUGGGGUGAAGCGUGGGGCUGCUGGAGGCGUCCAGCCCUGACUGUGUGUCCAGGACAAUGAGCCCCGAAGUGAGCGGGCCGCGUCCUGUUGGCGCAGCCAACUUCACGCCCUCUGUCCAGGGAGGACUAAGGGACAAGCUGCAGCAGGCGCAGAGGACGCUGUUGGUGUCCGGGAGGCCGCUGGUACAGGGCGUUGGGCGUGGCUCCUUUCCAAGUGCCUUGCACUUUCCAGGCUGGGCUGCAGAAGCAGGCUCGGGGGCGACUCGCGUGGGGACUGAAGCAGCCAGCCUUGGCACCUGCCCACAGCAAAUAACUGCCUUGACUUGAUCUGGUUUUUUUGAAGAAAGGUUUAUUCAUACCCAUUAUGUGCGCAUGU
rnacentral:lncRNA from 10 species